rnacentral:tRNA from 1 species
GCCUGGGUGGCUCAGUCGGUUGAGCGUCCGACUUCAGCUCAGGUCACGAUCUCACGGUUUGUGAGUUCGAGCCCCACAUCAGGCU